UUCUCUCCAUUUCUCUAGGACGUUUUCCAAAUAGUCUGAUGACAUUGGUUAGAAAUCUUUCCUGCUAUGGAAGCCCAGACGUUCUCUUUCUAAUUCUCAGGCUUGUGUUUUGUAUUUUCUCCUUGAGGAUCCAUUCUCUUUUUGUUCGCGGUGCAGUUCCCCCGCCCCUCGCCUCAUUUAACUUAGACAGGCACUUGUAAAUCCUCUUGCCUUUGGAAUGAAAACUCUUUGACCACAGAAGUUGUACUUUUCAGCGUGAUGGUGUAACCCGUCACAAAUGUGGAUGAAUCCCACUCAGGCUCCAUGGCCGUAAAUUUCAACCAGGAUGAACUUUGCCAUCUGUGGAAGAGUGGCGCGUCAACUCCUGGGCUUUUUGAACAAUUAAGUUCCACUUGGAAGCUGGAGACUCGCAGCCCUGACGACUUUGCCCGGUGAUCUGAUACACUAAAAGGGGCGUUCAAGUGCCCUGUUUUAUAACUGGGUCACUUCAGCUGCUGAUUUAGCCCUUUGCUUCUGACUGGGUUCCCGGGCCCAUAGAUGUCUCAUUGCACUCCAGUUCCAAGGCUGAAUUACUGGACUGGACUGAGGUGUAUCAGAUUUAGCUGUGACUUCGUAAGCUUCAAAAUGUUAGGAGAUGGAGCCUCCAGAGGGUCUAGAGCCAGACUCCAAACUAGUGUUGGCAAACCAACAGCAUAACUCUGAGGAAUGAAUAAGAAGCAGCCCAGUAGUUGUUUGACUUCAAAGCCAAGAUGCCAAGUCUUCCAAGAGGAAGAGCUCCAUCUAUUGCCUACACCACAUUUGGAGGUGAUUUUGGUGAGCCAAAUGCCUUGUAGAAACUGCUUUGGGCUUGAGUCCUGUCUCCAGGGGCUGAGUUGAUAUAGGGGAAAGUGUGCCUCCAGGUGUUGGGGGAAGCAAUGUUUCUACUUCUUGUAUAUCUUAAUAAAUAUCCCUUUGUAAAAUUUUUUUGAUGAAAAUUGGCUAAAUGAUGUUGGGAAACCAGUCACCAAAGAAUGAUUAUAAAAGAGAUCCAAUCAUUAGUAAUUGAUAUUGAGAACACAUAGGCACUGGAUCUCAGAGCCAGUAGUAUUAGAGGAUAAUGACAGAACUGCUGAUGGGGUACCCCUAGAACCCUCAUCAGUGUGAGUAUGAAUAAGGUCAAGGAUGCCGCAGCUUUAUAGGGAUGAUGUGUGAAUUUUCAUUAUAAAUAAGUAUAUAAUUCAUAGGCUUUUAGUUGCAAAGGAUCUUAGAAAUCAUCUAGUUCAACAUUCUCAUUUUAUAGACUGGGACACAGUGGCCCUAAGAAGUGAUAUGACUUGCUUUUGGACACACAGCUAGUUCCUGACAGAGCCAAGAUUCCAAUCCAAGUCUCUGACCCCAAAUCCAUUGUUUUUCCUAAUUCACCAAGUUAUGGCCCAGCAAGUUAACUCAUGGAAUUUGUAUGGGUGGGUAUACAUAUGUAUUUGUGUGUGCAUGUACUCACCUGUUAAAACAAGUGACAAAUCAAGAUUACAUUUCUGAGAAAAGUGGGAUGUAGCAAAUAGUGGGGAUGGUGAUAGAAAGCAAGGAAUAAGGAAAAAGAAAAUAUACAGGUGUCUCUGAGGGGUUAGGGUUGUGGUACCUGCAUAAUCUGGAAAAUCUAUGCAAAAUUUUUAGGUCUUUCUUUCAUAUCAGAAAAAUCUGAAUUUUUUCUUUUUCUUUUAUGGGAUGUACUUUGUUGUAAAAUUUGGGUUAAAUAUUUUGUCAUGGGCUAUAGAGUCUCUAGUAUUUUCUGUCAUCUGCUGGUCUUCAUGUGUCAACUGUGGCUUCUGCAAAACUCCUCUAAAAUUCCCAUUUUUAUACCCACCCAUGAUAUAUCAAAACCAUGAUGGGGAAAGUCACAGUAUAGAAGGGAUACCUAUACUUAGAACCACUGAGUCUUUUGGGUAGCUAAGUGGCUCAGUGAAGAGAAUUCUGGGCCUGGAGACAGUAAGACUCAUCUCCCUGAGUUCAAAUCUGGCUUCAGACACUUACUAACUGUGUGACUCUGGGCAAGUCACUUAAUGCUGUUUGCCUCAAUUUCUUUAUCUGUUAAAUGGACUGGAGAAGGAAAUGCCAAACUGCUCCAGUAUCUUUACCAAGAAAACCCCAAAUGGAGUCAUGAAGAGUGUGAGAUGACUAAACUACAAACUGGACUUGUGUAGUCUUAUACAAAACUUAGUCAGCUAACAUAUUCCAUAAGGAGAGGUUCAGAAAGGAAAAUUUGAGACAAAGAAUACUAAAUCUCAAUCUGAAUCUCAACAUUUCAGUAGAAGCUAUUAUCAAAACUGCUAUCUGGUCUCCAAUGAUCAAAUAAAGUGCAUAAUAACAAAAUGUCCUUUUUACUUUGUACUGUGUAGAUGUUGCCUUGGCAUUCUAUGUGGUAUUACAUUAUAGGUGGUCAUUUUAUUUCAUUUUUCUCAUUUAACUGAGAUUUUAUUUUUAUUUGUAUUUUUCCUAUUUGCUUAUCUCCAGACCACAGAACUAGAAAUAAAUGGUGGAAUUUUAAAAUUUAGGCUUAAUAUUGAAAAGCUUCCUAAUGAUUAGAGCUGUCCCAAAGUGAAAUGGGCUGCCUUGGGGAGGUUUUGGGUUUCCUCUUACUUAUGGUCUUGAUCAAGGGCUGAACAUCAAGUUACCAGAUAGGUUAGAGAAGGGCAGCUUUUUUCAGAGCAAGAUGGACUUCAUGACCUCCAAAGUUCUUUCCAACUCUGAAUUUCUGUGAUUCUAUGAAAUCAAACUCCUACUGAUCUUUGGCUUGUUAUUUUUGGCAGCAUAAUCUAGAGUCUGUAUGACUCCAGAAUUACAGAGGCAUGUUAAAUUAGCUGAGAAGAAUCCCAGAAUGUUAGGUCUUUUAUAAUCAGACAGAAGAACUCCAAAAAUAUACUCAGGGAAAAUACAAAACAUUGGAACAGUGGACAACUAUCAUGAAAAAAUUUAGAAACAAUUGCCAAUCACAGCAUCAUAUAAGGAAUAUGGCCAACCAAACAUUUGUAAUGACGUAAAUACUCCUACACUGUUUUAAGCUAUAGCAUAUGCACCUUGGUAAACCACCUCAGCAGGAAGGCUAAACCAGGUUGAGGGUAACCACGGGCCUCAGGUCCUUCAGUGAGUUAGGGCUCUUCCAGCCAAUAAGGUGAUGAAGCAGGCUCCUUGGAGUGCUUAGAUCUUGGUCAGAUGUCAAAGAUACCAAGAUCAUCCUCUGCAUCCCAGGCCAUCACCAGUCAUGGCGACUUUUGUCUUGCCACUGGAUUUGGAUGACUGGAAGAGUGAGGCUGAAGACUUUGUGCAACUCUGCCAAGUUUAAAUCCAAUUUAGGCAAGAGUCAAAAGGCAUCACCAGUGAUGUCAUUUUUGGUCCUGUUAGAGUACAAAAGACAAAAAUACCAUGGUUUCACAGGGUAGUAGGGAUGCAGGGAAUUCUAAGUAUGCAACAGUGAAUCUACUAGAUAAAGCUGAAUGUGAGGACCUGGACUAGACUAGACCCUAAGAAGUUGAGAGUUCUGUGCAGCCAGCAAAUCAAUCAUGAAUUAAAGGAAAAUGAGACUGAUAAGUGUAAAGGUAGCUUUUGUGGUGGUGGUUGUUGUGAAGAGCAAUAAACUUUUUAUGGGUAUAUUUUAAUUCAUACAAAGUAACAUACAACCCAAUUUAAGAUACCCAAUGGCAUCAGAGAGAAGGGGUGAGGAAAGCGUUUCAGAGUAAAGGAUACAUCUGCAUCUUAGUUACCUCAAAGGGAAAUUUAUAACUUAAUCUCUCUUAUUGGAGAAGGCAUUCAGAUCAAAACAGGAGGAGGAAGGAUUUUUUUUCAAGUUUUUUAAGUUGAAAAAAACCUUUGAAUUGAAUAAACGCCAAACAAAAUGGUCAUUUCUAUAGAUAUAGUAGAACCAAAAAAGAAGAUUGUAUGUGAAAUUGUGGUCUCUAUUAUGUAUGUCUUGUUUUUCUUUUUAAAAUAUAUACCAACAAUUGAAUGUAAUGGACUUCUCUAUUAGUGGCAAUUCAGUGAUCCUGAACAACUCUGAGGGAUCUAUGAGAAAGAACACUAUCCACAUUCAGAGGAAAACCAAUGGGAGUAGAAACACAGAAGAAAGACAACUUCUUGAAUACAUGAGUCAAGGGGAUAUGAUUGGGGAUGUAGACUCCAAAGGAACAUCCUAAUGUAAACAUCAGCAACAUGGAAAUAGGUUCUGAUCAAGGGCACAUGUAAAACCCAGUGGAAUUGCUCAUCAGCUACUGGAAGGGGCUGGGGGAGGGGAGAGAGGGAAAUACUGUAAUUAUUGUAACCAAGGAAUAAUGUUUGAAAUUGAAUAAUUAAAUAAAAUUUUCAAAAAAUAAAAUAAAAUAAAAUAAAAUAAAAUAUAUAACAAGUUCAACCUGCAGCUUUCAAAACUAUCUUGCUUAUCUGUUCUGUUCUAUGCAUUUGAAAAUAUACCUUUGCAAAAAAAAUUCCUCAAUGACACUGUCUAUUUAUCUAUCUGCCUCUCUGUCUCUGUCUCUCUUCAACCUUAUCCCUAUUACUGCUUAUCUUUCUACCUCUUCCCUCCUAUUAAAAGGAAAAAAAAAGAGAAGAAAAACAAAGCCCUUAGAAUAAACAUAUUUAAGCAAAACAAUCCUGCACAUUGACUGUGUGUGAAAUAUAUCUUAUUGUACAUUGUGUGUUUAUGACCUCAUCAAUAGCAUGCUUCAUUAUCUGGAAUCUUAAGUGG